rnacentral:misc_RNA from 1 species
GAUGAAGAACGCAGCGAAAUGCGAUACGUAAUGUGAAUUGCAGAAUUCAGUGAAUCAUCGAAUCUUUGAACGCACAUUGCGCCCGCCAGCACUCUGGCGGGCAUGCCUGUUCGAGCGUCAUUUCAACCAUCAAGCCCCAGGCUUGCGUUGGAGCCCUGCGGCUGCCGCAGCCUCCUAAAAGCAGUGGCGGGCUCGCUAUCACACCGAGUGCAGUAGAUUACUCUUCGCUCAGGGCGUGCAGCGGGUUCCGGCCGUGAAACCCCCUACUUUUAAAGGUUGACCUCGGAUCAGGUAGGAAUACUCGCUGAACUUAAGCAUAUCAAUAAGCGGAGGA